rnacentral:rRNA from 1 species
UUGAAUUGUUUAUUAUAGCAUUAAUCUAUAUGUAAAUUUGUGUAAGAUAAAAUUCUAAAAGAAUUUUAUUUUUUAUCUUUUGCAGUAGAUAAUUUUAUUGAUAUUAAAUUAAUUUAGAUUUAGUAAAUGCUAAAUAGGUUUGGUAAAAGCUGUGCCAGCAACCGCGGUUAUUCAGCAAAAUCAAAUGAACAUUAUUAGUUUUUAAGUAAUUAUCAUUAAUUGAUAUAUAAAUCAAGAUAUUAGAAGGUGAAAUAUCUAAUAUUUUAAGUAAUAUAAAUUUUAGUGAGAUAUAUUGCGAAAUUAAAUUUAUAAACUAGGAUUAGAUACCCUAUUAUUUUUAAUGUAAAAUUUUAAGCUUGAGUACUAGUAGUUAUGAUCUUUAAACUUAAAGAAUUUGGCGGUAUUAUAGUCUAUUUAGAGGAAUCUGUUAUGUAAUCGAUGAUCCGCGUUGAACCUUACUUAUAUUAUUUCUUGUAUACCGCUGUUUGUGAAUAUACUUUUAGGUAAUUUUCUAAACAUAAUAAUAAAUAGAAUUUCAAGUCAAGGUGCAGUAAUAUAUAAGAUGAAUAAUGGAUUACAAUAAAUUUUAUUUAUAUGGAUUAUUAUUGAAAUAUAAUUUGAAGGUGGAUUUAAUUGUAAUUUUUUGAAGAUUGUAAAAAUGAUUUAUAGCUCUAUAAUGUGCACACAUCGCCCGUCACUCUCGUUAUUAAGAUGAGAUAAGUCGUAACAAAGUAGGUGUAUCGGAAGAUGUACCUAGAAAGAUUA